rnacentral:tRNA from 1 species
GGAUUGUGGCUCAGUGGUAGAGCACUCGCUUAGCACGAGUGGUACCCGGGUUAGAUUCUCAGCACCA